rnacentral:rRNA from 1 species
CCUACGGGUGACAGCAGUGAGGAAUAUUGGUCAAUGGACGCAAGCCUGAACCAGCCAUGCCGCGUGCAGGAAGACGGCUCUAUGAGUUGUAAACUGCUUUUGUACGAGGGUAAACGCAGACACGCGUAUCUGUCUGAAAGUAUCGUACGAAUAAGGAUCGGCUAACUCCGUGCCAGCAGCCGCGGUAAUUCGGAGGAUUCAAGCGUUAUCCGGAUUUAUUGGGUUUAAAGGGGGCGUAGGCGGUCGGAUAAGUUAGAGGUGAAAUCCCGGGGCUCAACGUCGGAAUUGCCUCUGAUACUGGUCGGCUAGAGAGUAGUAGCGGUAGGCGGAAUGUAUGGUGUAGCGGUGAAAUGCUUAGAGAUCAUACAGAACACCGAUUGCGAAGGCAGCUUACCAAGCUACUUCUGACGUUGAGGCACGAAAGCGUGGGGAGCAAACAGGAUUAGAUACCCUUGUAGUC